AGCAUGGGGGGGGGGCUGAGGUCUGAGGGAAAGAACGCAGGGACGUGGACAUGCCUAUACAGCUCCAGGCACGGUGCAGACAGGCACCGGGCAAAAUUCUCUGAGAUUCCGCUGGGAGAAGCAGACUUCAUUGGGCAAAAGGCACUGAGUGUAUACUGCGUUGCCAGUCCACUGCAGAAGGCAGGACAGCCACUAACCAAGGUCAUUCUGCUUGCCUGGCACACAGUUUCUAGUAAGAGACACAGGACUUAAUGAGAAGCCAGCACCAUCUCUGGACCGCCCAGUGGAGGCAGAGGUCCUUUGGGUGGGUGCUACUGAGGAACCAGUCUGACUCCAUUUUGAGUGAAAGUUGAGUUGCUUUCUGUUUCCUAGAAUCUUCCCAUGACUUUGAUUUUUUUGAGAAUAUCCUGACCUCUCCCUAAUCACACUGGAUCAGUGGAUGACCAGAAGAUGUUUUUUAAAGUUUUUUUUUUUAUUUCCUUAUUGCCCCAUUGUCUCCCUUCUUGAAAACUACUCCUGAUUUUACGACUUAGAAAGGGGCCAAGAGGUGGGUUCCAGGCUGCUCUCUUUACCCCGACUUAGGAGGUGGUUGCUGGCUAGCUCUUG